CGGCGUGCUCUUCGUGUACCGAACUUAGCUAAUUGUAUUAGUUUAAUACAAUUAGCUAAAGUUCGGUACACGAAGAGCACGCCGUAAUGCGAAA